UACGUAGGGGGCAAGCGUUGUCCGGAAUCAUUGGGCGUAAAGAGCGUGUAGGCGGCUCGGUAAGUCCGCUGUGAAAGUCCAGGGCUCAACCCUGGAAUGCCGGUGGAAACUGUCGAGCUAGAGUCUGGAAGAGGCGAGUGGAAUUCCUGGUGUAGCGGUGAAAUGCGCAGAUAUCAGGAGGAACACCAAUGGCGAAGGCAGCUCGCUGGGACGGUACUGACGCUGGAGACGCGAAAGCGUGGGGAGCAAACAGG
rnacentral:rRNA from 1 species